rnacentral:lncRNA from 1 species
UGGGAAACAGAAGGAGAUUGCCUCUGAAGCAAUGGUGGCUUACAAAGGGGGGUCUCAUCGUGGACCUGAUUCUAAGGCCCACUUGAAGUGUGACUACUUCGGAAGAACUAGGGAUACCCGUGAUCGAUAUUUCAAGUUACAUCCAGAAUUGCGGAAUCCAGCUACUAGUGACAGUAGCUACCAGCCUAGAGGUGAUGCAACCAGAAGGUGGAUUGCUCAGCAAAGAACAGCUGGAGCAAAUCCUGACACUGCUCAAGCCACACUUGUCUCAGUCGGGUAAUCCUAAUGAUUUUACGGCACAUUCAGGUAAAGUACUAAUGGCACAACCUAUGAGGAGUUGGAUAAUUGAUUCUGGAGCCUCAGAUCAUAUGACACAUGAUUCAUUGCCCUUUAUUACAUAUACAUCACAAUCAGGUUUUAACAAAGUUAAAGUGGCUGAUGGUAACUUAGGCCCGAUUGCAAGCACAGGCCAUAUCCCUAUAUCCAAAGAAAUC